GCAAUUAUACCGUGAAACUGCGAAUGGCUCAUUAAAUCAGUUAUCGUUUAUUUGAUAGUACCUUACUACUUGGAUAACCGUGGUAAUUCUAGAGCUAAUACAUGCUGAAAACCCCAACUUCGGGAGGGGUGUAUUUAUUAGAUAAAAAACCAACGCCCUUCGGGGCUUCUUGGUGAUUCAUGAUAACUUCACGGAUCGCAUGGCCUUGCGCCGGCGACGGUUCAUUCAAAUUUCUGCCCUAUCAACUUUCGAUGGUAAGGUAUUGGCUUACCAUGGUUUCAACGGGUAACGGGGAAUUAGGGUUCGAUUCCGGAGAGGGAGCCUGAGAAACGGCUACCACAUCCAAGGAAGGCAGCAGGCGCGCAAAUUACCCAAUCCCGACACGGGGAGGUAGUGACAAUAAAUACUGAUACAGGGCUCUUUUGGGUCUUGUAAUUGGAAUGAGUACAAUUUAAACCUCUUAACGAGGAACAAUUGGAGGGCAAGUC
rnacentral:rRNA from 1 species